rnacentral:tRNA from 1 species
UCCCGGGUAGUUCAACUGGCAGAACACUGCACUUUGGAUGCAGCGGUUGACCGUUCGAUCCGGUCCCCGGGAU